rnacentral:rRNA from 1 species
AGUGAACGCUGGCGGCGUGCCUAAUACAUGCAAGUCGAACGGAGAUUAAGUAGCUUGCUAUUUAAUCUUAGUGGCGCACGGGUGAGUAAUAUAUAGCUAACUUGCCCAUUACUAAGGGACAACAGUUGGAAACGACUGCUAAUACCUUAUACUCCGUAUCUAUAUAAGUAGAUACGGGAAAGUUUUUCGGUAAUGGAUAGGGCUAUAUCGUAUCAGCUAGUUGGUAAGGUAAUGGCUUACCAAGGCUAUGACGCGUAACUGGUCUGAGAGGAUGAUCAGUCAGACUGGAACUGAGAGACGGUCCAGACUCCUACGGGAGGCAGCAGUAGGGAAUAUUGAUCAAUGGGGGAAGCCCUGAAGCAGCAACGCCGCGUGGAGGAUGACACUUUUCGAAGCGUAAACUCCUUUUCUUGGGAAAGAAUUAUGACGGUACCCAAGGAAUAAGCACCGGCUAACUCCGUG